CGUCCACCCCGGCCAGCGACACCAGCGGGAUGGGCACGGGCAGGGGCAACUGGUCGGAGCCCUCGCUGGAGAAGAACUCCACCUUGCCCGGGAUGGACGGCACCCAGGUGCGGUAGGCGGCCACCGCCCGCGAGUCCAGUCUUUCUGCUUCAGCUCCGGCUUUCCUUCAUUAACAUUAAUACCGCCCUCACAAAGCGCAGCGAGCGCAGCAGCUGAGAGGAAGGAACCGAGGGCUUCCCUUCGGAUUGACAGCCCCGCUGACCAGUCACAACACGGCUGGAGCACAGGCUGGAAAGUGUUUCGUCGGCUUCGGAGUUUGACCAGUCCAAUCAAUGGAGGAGGAGGGACGGGACAUCCGCCCCUUUGAGCUGCGUCUUAGCUUCGGUGGUGUGAAGUGCUGGAGGAGGAGCUGAGGGCAGACUUUGUUUGACACUGAUGGCUUGUGGCUGCUGCUAGGCGAGGCAGAAGAAAGCUUGCCGAGAGACUCCUGCCAUAAACAGACUGAGUGCUGCGAAGUAUAGAUGUGAUUUUUUAAAAAUUAAAUAUCAAUAAUCCCCUUAACACAGCAAAGAAUGGGGAUUCCCCCCCUUGCGAUGUAUUAAAAUAUUUUACAUUUAAAGCCUAUUUAUUUUUCUAAAAGGCAGCCAAGAACGCAAUAAUGACUAGCCUAGGAUUAAGGAUGCAGAAUGAAGUGAGUAAGUUUAAACAAAAAACAUCGAUAAAAGUGACACCAAGCUCUCACGAAAGACAGUAGUUGGGUUAGAGAUAUUGGAAAUAACAGUUCGAAUACAGUUUUACUUUCUUAUCCAAAUGAACGUUUAAGUUUUAUACUCAUUGACAUUUAUGUUUCUAAGGUAAACAUUUGACUGACUGCAUUUCAAUGAAUGUAUGUGCAUGGGCGUUCAGCUCUAAAGUUAAGCUUCAGUAAAGUGUAAAUUCUACAGGAAUCUCAUUUUCCAGAUAAGUUUGUGAGGCAAGCUUGCCCUUGUUGUUUGUGGAUUUAUUGCAGCAGGAUAAAGUGAAACUCUUCUCUGAAGUGACACAAUUGAACAGAGAAAUGGCCUAUCCUGACUCACCAGGUUCACAGAUUUGCAAAUACAAGCACAAUGUAAUUGCUACAGGUUCAAAUUUCCUUGCCCUUUAAUCCCAUUAUAGCAGCUUCAUCAAAGCUGAAAGAGUCUAGGAUCAAAGACACAUAUUUCUUUUCCACUAUUCUAACAGACUUCACAUCAUUCCCUGAAAUGAAAACAUGUGGCACUCCAAGAGGAAUGAACACCAACAAAUUCCCUUGCACAGAAGAGUUUUAAAAGGAAUAGCUUCACAGGUAUUGAAUCAAGUCAGCUAUGGACCAAGGACUGAUAAUGAAAUUAAUAUAGGUAGGUGUUUGAUGGUCGGUAUGGAUGUGAUGGGCUGAAGGGAUUGUUUCUUUGGUUUGUGGAUGUGUAGAUGUGAUCUUCCAACAUGCAUCGAUUCUGGAGCAAUCUCAGUGGACUGAAAUGUAGCCAUAAAGCUUUUCAAGAAAGAAGGACAUGAAAAAAAGAGGAUUGUUAGAUUGGAAUCAUUGUCGGGAAAAUGCUGGAAUAAAGGCACUUAGAAAAUUUUGUAAUGAGACAGGAUCAAUACUGUUUUAUGUAAAGUCUGUCAAAUCCGAGAGUUAUUUUGGGAUGUAGCUGGCAAUGUAGAUAAAAGGCCACCAGUGGUAUUUCUAGAUUCUCAAAAGGUAUUUAACAAGGUGCCAUACUGAAGAUUAUUACAAAAAGUUAGUGAGGUUAAGGAAUGAAUAGAGGACUUUAAGUGACAGAUAACAGAAGAAGUAAACAGAGCUUCAUACUAGCAGGGUGCCACAGGGAUCAGUAUUGGGCCUUAGAUUACUUACAAUCUAUUAUCAAUAACAAUCUAUUAUCAAUAACAACCUAAAGGAUAGAGAUCAAUGUUUUCAAGUUGUUGGCAAUACAAAGCUAGAUGCAAAAGUGAGCUGCAAACAACUUGCAAAGAGAUAAAGGCAGGUGAAGUGAGUGAUAAAGAAGAAAGCAUAUGUGGGGAAGAAGUGAGAGAUCAUUCAUCUUGGUAGAGCAGAAUAUUUGUAAACACUGGUAAAUGUUGGUAUACAGGGGAGACUGAGUGUGCCAUUCAUGAAAAGUAGAAAGUUAACACACAGGUAUAGUAAGCAGUUGGGAAAGCAAAUUAAUUGCUGGGAGGAGACUGAGUAGAAGACUGGAUUUCCUGCUGUAAUAAUACAGAGCUUUGGUGAAUCCAUGUGUGGAGUUUUGGCCUCCCUAUCCAAGGAAGGAUAUGCUUGAGGAUAUAUUUGCUUUGGAUGUAGUAGAGAAAAUUUCCCUGGAUUAGAAAUUUUUUUAAAGGGAGAUUAAAUUGUCUGGACCUAAAAUAAGAGAGGUGAUCUUAUUAAAAUAUUCAGCAUUCUGAGAGACUUUGUCAGUUGUUGAAGACGUGUUUCCCAUAACUGAAGAACAAGGAAGCCAUUUAGGAGAAAUUUCUUCAUUUGAAAGAGUUCUAGAGUUCUGAUUUUUUUAAAAUUCUCCAUCUCCUGAGGACUCAGAAUGCUCAGGUGGUGAGUAUAUUCCAAACAGAUAUACAGAUUUUGUUAUACCAGGCAAAUCAACGGAUAUGGGAAUGGGAUAGGAAAUUUGUGGUUGAUUAUAAUGCUAAUGUGCAUUUUAUAUUUUGUGAUAUAAAAUAAUCAUUAGCAUACACUUAUGUAGCCAAUAUUUAUUCGGGGGAAAAAAGAUUAAUAGGAGUAAACUUAAUACACUUGCAGUAAUAAAAUGAGUCAUUUAAUAACAAAUGUUCAUUGCAAUGCAAACAUAUGCAGAAUUGCCAAGCGAUAGUGUGCUCAGACUAAUGAAAUGCAGAAUGAAAAGUGUGGGAAUCCAACAAUAAUAGAAUUUGUGACAGCAUGGACUAGGUUUUUAACCAAACAAAUGUAAAGAAUGAAUAAUCUGAAUCUGUAAAGGAAGACAUUGACUAUAAUAUACAGCAGGCUCUGUUUAAGGAAACUCAGAUGCAAAGUUGAUUAUCCUGUAAUAAUAAAUAAUGAUGUCUCUUAAAAGACUACCUACAGAUAAUUGCUAGACAACAUUAGGGGUGGAUAUUUCCUAAAACUAAUUAUUGUGAACCAUCUGUAUUUUUGGAUUCUGGGAUAUUUGCUCACACACAUUCUUCCAAACCCAAACAACUGAAAAUGUGUAAAAAUACUCAAUGUAUCCACCAUGGCUAAAUAUUAAAAAAAAGUUACAAGUAAUGGAUGGUACUUGAUGACAAUUAUAUAUGAUCAAUGUCUAGUCAGUGAUUUUCCCCCCAUAUUUAAUGUGAUCUCCUGUUUGGUUGUAGUAGUAUAUCUCAGAAAAUUGAUCUGAAAUCAUCAUCUAUUAAACUUAUACUUUGGUUAUGAA